rnacentral:lncRNA from 1 species
GCCAGGUGUCUAUCAUAUUUUUGAAGAUUGGAUACGUCCUCAGUUGGAUCAAAUAUAGCCCAAUAUUAUCUAAUCAACAAUACUGUUAGCUCCUUAAUAAAUAUCUGAGAUGCUAAAAAUCAAACUCUGAUUUUUAAAUGGUACUCUCCAAAGCGCCUCCUUGCAAUAAUUUGACCGAAGAGGAGCAUGCAUAAUGUUUGAAGGGAGCGCGAAAAAUCCCAAUUUCCCGUUUAACUAAAUCCCGUCGGAGUCGAGUGCGCCACGUCAUAAAGACCAUCCAUUACCCCAUCCAGAGUAAAUAAAGAGCGUGUACAUAUCACACUUCCAAAUAUUCCUACCAGACACAGCAUGGCCCGCAUGUCGGUUCCCACUAUCCGUCCGGCCAAUCAGAACCCACCAGCUGGCCAAUCCAUUGUUGGGGUCUCCAUGCGAGCUUUUCCGUCCCAGCGAAACGUGUACCACCGAGGCGCACUUUUGGCUGGCGUUGCGGAUAAUCAUGCCAGCUCAGCAGCGACCGAGGCCGCAUGAUGCUGACGUCACCAUCCAAUCUCGCCAAUGACGUGGCCCAAAUUCGACCCCUCCCGCCGUCUGGUAACACCUAAUCCUCUUAGGAAACGUUUAUACACUUAUGCCCCC